CAAGUGGUGGAUAUAGAACCACCUUUCAUGGCAGUACAUUGCAG
rnacentral:miRNA from 1 species